rnacentral:lncRNA from 1 species
GCUGGCGGGGUGAGCCAGGCCCGUCCGCAGAGGCGCCCUCCCUGCUGGGCCGCGCAGGGGUGGAUGGCAGGGUGACAGUCCCCUCCCGGCCUUGGGGAAGAGGAACCCACUCUGUCUCCAGGCGGAACCCUCGCUCACCCAGACCGAAACUGAAACACCCCACCAGGACUCUUCAGUCAGGCCUUUACUUCCACAGGGGUUCAAAGCCCUGCCCUGGGUCCUGAGACAUGCCGGCUGCCUCUGUCCAAAGAGAAGUUCCGGUCUCCAGAGUCUGGACACCGGCUGAGUCAGAGCUCUGACGCAUGUAGAUCUGGAAGUCCGAGUCAUUUCCCAAGAAAAAUCCAAGGUGGUGAUGGAAGAGAGGAACACACUGCGCCUUGCUGGGAGCAGUGGGAAGGCAGUCUCACCUGUGCCCCAGUCAACCUCCCUGACUCCCGGGGAGGCGGCACAGGCCUGCUCCUACUCAGGGGAGAGAUCACUGCAUCAAGAGGGAAGGCCCACACCCAGGACGGCCAUCCCGAGGAAAUGGAGAGAGAGAAAAGGCAUGUGGAGGGUGCAGUGCUGAACACCACGCGCUUGGCAGGGUGCCCUCAACUCAGUGUCCCACAACAGUCUUGGAAAGCAUGUGUAAAUAAGUGUUAUUCGUCUGCCUCCAAAAGGAGGCUUAGAGGCACAUCACUACGCAAUCCACGUGGCGAGUCUGCUGAGGAUUCCAGAUGGGAAGGAAGCCCAGAUGUCUCAAGUUCAGUGAUCUUGCUGGGUCCUGUCUACCUCAUUCUGUACUUGUUCCCACAGUGUCUGACACCACGCCUUGUAUCUGGAAAAUCCCCAAUAAAUGUCCAAGGAAAUGAAGAAGGAAAAGAAGUCAAAACGCUUGUGUAGAGACAAGUUGGAGGGAAGGAGGAAGAGAAGGAGUCAAGCAGAUGGCAUCCAUUCUGUUGAGAAGAGUGGCUCCGUGAGGGGUCUACCUUGCAUUGGAGAGAGGCCGCCUGUUGGUGUUCCUGUCCUGCUUCCCGGGCCCUGUCACAUCCGGGUGCACACCAACUCCACAGCCUGCCCCCGGAGCUCUGUCCGCUGCCGAGAUUGACCUUGUCUGUCUGUCCUGAGAGCUAGCAACACCUCGGGAUUGACCCUCCCCAGGAGCGGCCUCGCACUAACCACGGAUGGGGCACUGGCAAUGCUCCUUUGCAUGUGAUCUGGACACCCCCGGGUGUAUGUCCGGAACGCCCGUUUGGAAUGCAGCCCAGUCUGCCAGGGCCUUCUCUUGAUACCGCGCCCUUGUGUGCCUUUCCCUCCCGGCCCCGCCUUCCCACGCCCUCACCGGUUUCUCCUCGGAUCAUUUCCAAAGAAAUCACAUUCAUCCCUUGCCUCACAUUCAGGUCCGCUUCUGGGGACUCAACCCAAGAUGAGAGCCUCGUUAGAAACUUCCCUUCGAGGGCUGACGCCUUCCAGUAACUUCUCCUCUAGGCUCGUCUGCCCUUUGGCAGAGCCUGAGACUCAAGUUCGAAUCCUGAGCAAGUUUUUCAAGAUUUCUCUCACCUUUCCCCAGCUUCCAGCCUCUGGUGCCUGAGUAUUGGGGGUGGGGCUUGAAUUUUUAAGCCCCUUUGCUCAAAGCUUCUCUAGGAAGUUGUCAAAAUGCUCCUCUUCAAAGUAUUUCAUCACCUGCCUUCAAAAGUUCUAAUCAGGAAAACUCAGGAGAAAGCAGACAUUAAACAGAACAGUCCUGGGUAGGUAGGAGAAUCACAGUAAUUAGCAUCCAUCUGGCCCAUCCGGAACGCCAGACACCGUGUUGGGGUCUACUUGUGAGAUGCCACGUUUAUUCCUGCUGCAACCCUGGGAAGACAGUGUCAUCACACACCGUCCUUUUACAGAUGCGGAGGAGACUAGAAUCUCACCACCAAUCGAAACCCCUCAUAGGACGCGCCUAGUGCAGGGCACUGCAGCUGGCGGAGCCCUCCUCCAGGAGCGGGCGAUAGCCAUGCCCAGCCAGGCUAAAGGAGGUUAGCAAGUUCCCCCAGGGGGCUGAUUCCGAAGCCCUGCCUUUCAGGACAGAUUAGAACAGAGGACAGAAGCAUUAGUUGGUGAGACGACAGUAGCCCACCUCUCAGCAGUCAACACAAAACCCUCGUGUGCUCAGAAGUCCCUUCUGGGACCCCACCUCCCACCCCAGUGAAGAAAGAAAAGAGGAUUGAGUAAGGUGCCUCCUCCCUGGGGAAGACUGGACUUGCCCACUCAAAACCAGCGGAGCAAUUCCAGUCGAAGCCAGGACAGCCACUUUAGCGGCUGAACUAAAAGUGCAAACCAGCACAGAAUGUGCUCCAACAGUGGGCACGCUGCAAGGUGUGCCUGGCUGCCAUUUAUCGGGCGCUGGGUGUACACGGGCCUCGUGCUCAGCCCUUUCUCUCCUUUAAGCCUCACGGCAGCUCAUGCCCAUAUCCUCGUCUUCUUUCUGUGCAGCCAUCUAGAAUAUGAGGGAGGUUUCGGUAAGUUAAGACCUUUGCCCAAGGUCAACCGGCCUCUUCAGUGGGGGAAUCUCGGAUUGGAAGGAGCUGUUUCUGACCCUGCUUAACCACAUGCCUUACCAGCAGUGAAGGAAGGUUUCCAGGAAGCUACCGAGCUUAAGUUGGUCAAGGGGACUCUCCCCAGGUGGGGCCUGGUGUGUCCUGGCCUUGGCCGGGUCCAGGGAGGAGAGUGGCAGAGGCGUGACUGAGCACCUGCUGGCAGGCCGGACUCGCGCUGCCUCUGCUGCCCUCUCUCGGCUGUCCCGGGUCCUGGUGGUGUGAUUACCGCUUCCUGUUGUCGUCACUGCUGCUAUUCAUAGCACAUGAAUAAUUCAAAAAGUAAAUUUUGAGGCUCCCGGCUCUUUCCUGCCCUUGGGGAGCCGCUAAAGAUAGCUCAUCCCUCAGCCCACGGAGCAGAGCGGCUGGAGGAGAGCAGGAGGUGCGCGUGGAGGAAGAGCUCCUUUUUCCAGCUGGUUCCCUUCUAUGCGCCCAAGUGCAUUUGGAGUCCCCUUCUCACCCGUGACAGUCCUCUGGCGCUGUGAGCCGGUGGGUGAAAGCACAGCGCUGGAUGACACUGACCUCCACUUAAAGGCCUGGAGCUGGCUGCUUUUUCUCUCUUUUGCCGGUGAGACUGCCGAGCGCCAGAUAGGCCUGGGAGGAGCUGCUGGUGGCAAAGACCAGCUGUUCCCCAGAGAGAGAAGCCUCUGAGAGGCCACCUGCAUGAUCCUGGGUGGUGCCUGCGGCCUUUCCUGGCCAGCUCUGAGGUGGAAGCAUCCAGCAGACGCUGUGCCUCGUGGAGCAAGCAGCCCCGUGAGGAAGCACCGGGGACCUUGUGCGCCCCACCAACCAGCCUGGUGGGUGACUCGCCAGCCUGGUUUUCCCAGGACUGUUCCAGUUUUAACUCUGAAAGUCCCACAUUUCAGGAAACUUCUCAGACUCAGGCAGGCCAGACCGUCAGCCCAAGGUCAGUACAGGCUCAUGAAUGAAUAACUGUCCAAAGGGGAAAUCUGUUCUUCAGGAAAGACUUCGACUUAAAAUCUUAAAACAAAACCAACGCUGUGGGUGGGUGUGGUGGACCUGCACUCGCUGCGGCUGGGAGUACGAUUUGUACGUACCAGGCAUCCUAAAAAUGUUUGAACCUUUUCCCGAGAAACUUUCUUGCAUGGUAGAAACUGUGGCGCAAAUCUUGGUAGUAAAGCUUUCUCCUUUCCCUCAAAAUAUUAUACAAGCAAAAAAGGAAUGAAAGAGAUCAUUGCUCAAAUUAAAAAAUGAUUACCAUCGUAGUCCUUCCCCGCGUGAACAAUGUUUUCGGUUAAUAAACACCUUGUUUUAUACGCCUGUAUCUUGUCU